rnacentral:misc_RNA from 1 species
UUGCUUAUCAUUUUGUUGAUGGAGCAAGUCCACACAAUUUUACUCCCAUCAGUAUUCUAUAUUCGCUUGUAUUUUAUGUUCCUUGUAUCACUGAAAAUGUAGUUGGCUCAGAAAAAUCAAUCCAUUUGCGGAGAGCUCACACUUCUAUCUCAUGGAGACGUGGUUCCUCAUCUUCAUCUGCAUCGCCAUUUCUGCAUUUCUGAAAGCUCUCAUCGACCUUUUCUUUACUUCCAAGGAUCCCAACCCCAACCUCAACCUCCCUCCUGGUCCCCUUAACUUUCCUAUCAUCGGCAACAUUCUAUGGCUCCGCAAAUCCUUCGCUGAACUCGAGCCCGUCAUUCGUUCCCUCCACGCUAAGUUCGGCCCCGUUAUCACUCUCCACAUCGGCCCUCGCCCCGCCAUUUUCGUUGCUGAUCGCUACCUUGCCCACCAUGCCUUGAUCCAAAACGGUUCAGUUUUUGCUGACCGGCCCUCUGCUCUUGCUAUUGGCAAAAUAAUCAGUAGCAAUCAGCAUAACAUCAACGCUGCCUCUUACGGCCCUACAUGGCGUCUCCUCCGGCGGAAUCUCACUUCAGAAAUCCUCCAUCCUUCAAGGGUGAAGUCCUAUUCUCACGCAAGAAAGUGGGUGCUGCAAAUCCUCCUCAAUCGCUUUGAAUCGCAGUCGAAAUCUGGAGAUCCUGUUCGCGUUGUGGAUAAUUUUCAGUACGCCAUGUUUUGCCUGUUAGUCCUCAUGUGUUUCGGCGACAAGCUCGAUCAGAAACAAAUUGAAGAAAUUGAGAGAGUAGAACGUUCUGCCAUUUUGAAUACUCGGAAAUUCAAUAUACUCAAUUUCAUGCCAAGAUUGACCAAGAUAGUGUUUCGUAAACGUUGGUCACGGUUUUUGCAGCUUCAAAAGGAUCGACAAGAAGUAUUGAUUCCAUUGAUAAGAGCAAGAAAGAAGGCCAAUGAAGAGAGACAGAGCAAGUUAAAUGACCAAAAAGAUGACUAUGUCUUAUCGUACGUUGAUACCCUGUUAGAUCUGCAGCUUCCUGAUGAGAAAAGAAAUCUUACAGAGAAUGAAAUGGUGGGUUUGUGCAAUGAGUUUCUUAACGCAGGCACGGAUACUACUUCCACAGCCUUGGAAUGGAUCAUGGCAAAUUUGGUGAAAGACUCACAUAUUCAAGAUAAGCUUUUCAGAGAAAUUAAAGGGGUUGUUAGAGAGGGUCAAGAAGAAGUAAAAGAAGAAGAUUUGCAGAAGCUGCCAUAUUUGAAAGCAAUCAUUUUAGAAGGGCUAAGGCGGCACCCACCAGCACAUUUUGUUGUGCCACAUGCGGUGACUGAAGAUGUAGUUUUGGAUAAAUAUUUAGUACCCAAAAAUGCAAAUAUAAAUUUCAUGGUGGCAGACAUGGGAUGGGAUCCAGAGGUUUGGGAGGAUCCCAUGGCUUUUAAGCCUGAAAGGUUUAUGGGUAGUGAUAAUAGCAGUGGAGAAGUGUUUGAUAUAACAGGAAGUAAGGAGAUUAAGAUGAUGCCAUUUGGGGUGGGAAGGAGAAUUUGCCCUGGAUAUGGAUUAGCAAUGCUUCAUUUGGAGUAUUUUGUGGCUAAUUUGGUUUGGAAUUUUGAGUGGAAGGCUGUGGAUGGAGAUGACAUUGACCUGUCUGAGAAGCAGGAGUUUACAAUGGUGAUGAAGAAUCCAUUGCAGGCCCUCAUAUCUCCCAGGUUCAAAAACGUAAGUUGAAAGAAAUUGAUGGUAUAGUAUUAGUAGCCCACUGUGCCACUUGUUGCAUAAUUGUCUAUCAGCUUUCAAUAUUACUGUUAUAAUGCGAGAUAUAUAUAUAUAUAUAAAAGAAAAAAAAAAGUUUGAGUGGACUAUCCUUAUAUCAUGAGGUUCAAUAAAAAUCCCUCCUGGGGCAGAAAAUUAAGAAAUGCAGAAAUUGAUAGAGACCAAAGAUGCAUGGCAUUAAAGCUGGAAGCCAAUUAAUGUUCCCUUUGUUAGGCAGGAGGGAGGGGUCCAAUAGCUAAUUAGGGCUAGGCUUUGCCACCUAUAUUCAUAAAGACCCACACCAAUUUAACAAGGAUUGGUGCAACUUGUGAGAGCAAUGCAUGCAUACGUAUGUCGCAUUUAAGGUUCUCAGAGGAGGGUAAAUUAUUAUUUUUUGAUAGUUUAUGGUUAUGGGUGUGUUGAUGAUUGGCAGGAUUUGAGGUGACAGAAAUGGCA